rnacentral:pre_miRNA from 1 species
GGUGGGAAGGGGAGUGUCCCUCAGCCUGGAUUGCAAGAGGGUGCAGGCCAGGCCGAGGGACCCCACCAGUGCAGG